UACGUAGGGGGCAAGCGUUAUCCGGAUUUACUGGGUGUAAAGGGAGCGUAGACGGCGAUGCAAGUCUGAAGUGAAAGGCGGGGGCCCAACCCCUGGACUGCUUUGGAAACUGUAUGGCUGGAGUGCAGGAGAGGUAAGUGGAAUUCCUAGUGUAGCGGUGAAAUGCGUAGAUAUUAGGAGGAACACCAGUGGCGAAGGCGGCUUACUGGACUGUAACUGACGUUGAGGCUCGAAAGCGUGGGGAGCAAACAGG
rnacentral:rRNA from 1 species